rnacentral:lncRNA from 1 species
AAAAUUUAUAUUUUUUUUUACUUAUAUAUAGCGGUAAAAAAAAAUUGUAUUACGUGUUUGCAUGAAUGUACUUUACCGCCAAAUGUCAUGCUUAGAGUAACUCAUGCAUCGCGACAACGCGUAAAAUAAAGUACCAGGAUAAAUAAAGUAAUAGGAAAAGGUAAUAAAAAGCAGCAUAAUUAAAUGGAAUAAAAGGUAGAAUUGAGAUCAAAAAAAAGCAUUAGGAAAAGACAAGAAAAAUUAGUAUUGGAAAAAAAAAAAAUUACUUUUUGUUUUAAUAAAUCCGAUUUUAAGCAUUAAUUAAGUAAUAAUUAAGAAGAGAGUAUAAAAGAUUAGGUGAUCUUUGGAGGAAUUACGACAAAUUAAGUUGAGAAAACAUUUUUGAAACUCUGAUAAAACGAUCACAUGAAUAUUGUAAAUAAUUAAAUUGAACUAUAAAUAUAAAUAGUGAAAAAAAAGGUGCCUUGCUUCAUAUUACAAUAAAGAAUACUGAUUAAGACAAAAAUUAAUCACUAAAUUCAAUAGAAGAGAG